rnacentral:rRNA from 1 species
UACGUAGGGCGCAAGCGUUGUCCGGAAUUAUUGGGCGUAAAGAGCUCGUAGGCGGUCUGUUACGUCCGCUGUGAAAACCCAGGGCUUAACCCUGGGCUGGCAGUGGAUACGGGCAGACUAGAGGUAGGUAGGGGAGAAUGGAAUUCUCGGUGUAGCGGUGAAAUGCGCAGAUAUCGGGAGGAACACCGGUGGCGAAGGCGGUUCUCUGGGCCUUACCUGACGCUGAGGAGCGAAAGCGUGGGGAGCGAACAGG